rnacentral:lncRNA from 1 species
UUAGUUGUGGUGUGAUCUAGGCCUGCUUGUAUCUCUGCUUGCUCAGGGUCAGAGAGAAGGCUGGAUUCUGGGAUGCUGCAGGAUUUUGGAAGCAAAGACAGAGAGGGCACCUGGAGAAUGGUUGCCAGAGUGAAAUUCCCCAGACAAUAGAGAUAAUUUGGAACUGUUUAAAGAACAAGGGAAGAAGAGCCCAAGGACCGUAGCAAGGCCCUGAUUCUGGGAGACGAGAGAACACGCUGACUUAGAAUGCUUGUCUCUGCAUCCUGGUCAGAAAGUAGAUGGACGACACUUUCAUCUCCGACUGGAUUUUGGUGAGAGAUGGGCAAACCCCGGGCUCUAGGCUGGAGCAGCAGCUCUUGUAUCCACACAAAAUCAGGACUGGUGGAGGGAGCCAUCUUCAAACAUAAAUUUGCGUCUUUUGGCAAUGCACUCCUUGGGUUUGGAAGCUUCCCUCCAAGAUGCUGAGCCCAAUGUUUGGGGAAAGCCAGGGAAACAGAUGCUGGGUCAGUGCUGCUCCCACCUCCUCUGCUCCCCUCCUGAGGGCUCCACUGAGUCACCAGCCAGCAAACAGCCCAUGCGCCCUGGAGCAGAUGGACUGUGGGUACACGAGCCUCUGAACUCUUGGGCAGCAUGGGCACAACAUCCUUUUGGCCUCACCCAAUGACCUGGCUGCCUCCUAAGACGAUGUUGCUGGAUGUCCCCUGCUGACCCCACAGACUGGCUCCUCUGGUGUCCGCUGACUUGGCCUGGUGAGAAGGGCAGGGCCAGGCCCUUCCCUGUCUCGACCUGCAUUCCCACCCAACACAGCAAGCUAUUUUGAAAAAACUUCUCUAUCAGUUCUUGUGAGUUAUUUGUCUAAUAAACAACAUUGUGAAAAUGAAGCAUUCAUGUAUUUGUAUAUUGACAAGAGAUAACCAAUUCCCUCAACAAUUUUACAAUUUCAAAUUAGGAUAACAUCCUUUUUUGGAGCUCUUCAAACAUCUUAGGGAACACACGCACAUAUUU